GCAUUGCUGAGGAGCCCAAGAAUAGGACGAAACGGCCGUCCAAUGC
rnacentral:hammerhead_ribozyme from 1 species